rnacentral:misc_RNA from 1 species
UCUCCGUAGGUGAACCUGCGGAAGGAUCAUUAUUGUAUAACCGAGGUGCGAGGGCUGUCGCUGACCCGAAAGGUCGUGCACGCCCGAGUGCCCUCACACACAUCCAUCUCACCCCUAUGUGCACCACCGCGUGGGUCCCCCUUUGGCUUGUUCGGAGGGGGGCUUACGUUUUCACACAAACUUUGUAUGCAGUGUAGAAUGUAUUUUUUGUUUUUGCGAUCACGCAAUCAAUACAACUUUCAACAACGGAUCUCUUGGCUCAC